rnacentral:rRNA from 1 species
GCUCAGAUUGAACGCUGGCGGCAGGCCUAACACUGCAAGUCGAGCGGUAGAGAGAAGCUUGCUUCUCUUGAGAGCGGCGGACGGGUGAGUAAUGCCUAGGAAUCUGCCUGGUAGUGGGGGAUAACGUUCGGAAACGGACGCUAAUACCGCAUACGUCCUACGGGAGAAAGCAGGGGACCUUCGGGCCUUGCGCUAUCAGAUGAGCCUAGGUCGGAUUAGCUAGUUGGUGAGGUAAUGGCUCACCAAGGCGACGAUCCGUAACUGGUCUGAGAGGAUGAUCAGUCACACUGGAACUGAGACACGGUCCAGACUCCUACGGGAGGCAGCAGUGGGGAAUAUUGGACAAUGGGCGAAAGCCUGAUCCAGCCAUGCCGCGUGUGUGAAGAAGGUCUUCGGAUUGUAAAGCACUUUAAGUUGGGAGGAAGGGCAUUAACCUAAUACGUUAGUGUUUUGACGUUACCGACAGAAUAAGCACCGGCUAACUCUGUGCCAGCAGCCGCGGUAAUACAGAGGGUGCAAGCGUUAAUCGGAAUUACUGGGCGUAAAGCGCGCGUAGGUGGUUUGUUAAGUUGGAUGUGAAAUCCCCGGGCUCAACCUGGGAACUGCAUUCAAAACUGACUGACUAGAGUAUGGUAGAGGGUGGGGGGAAUUUCCUGUGUAGCGGUGAA